rnacentral:lncRNA from 9 species
CCCAUUGAGUGAAAAACCAAGUAAGCUCAUUAGUGAUUUUUUUAAACUUAAAACCCAACUUGUUUUUAUGGCUUUUUUUUUUUUUUUUUUUGUCUUUUGUCUUUUGAGGGCCACACCUGCGGCAUAUAGAGGUUCCCAGGCUAUGGUCCUGUCGGAGCUGUAGCCACUGGCCUACCCCACAGCCACAGCAACGCAGGAUCCGAGCCGCUUCUGCAAACUACACCACAGCUCACGGCAAUGCCAGAUCCUUAACCCACUGAGCAAGGCCAGGGAUUGAACCUGUAUCCUCAUGGUUCCUAGUCAGAUUCGUUUCUGCUGUGCCACAACGGGAACUCCAUUUUUAUGGCAAAUUUUUGAGUCCUUGAAAAUUAUGAAAAGUAAAAUCAGAUAACUGUGCCAGGCUGUACCAGGGAGGCUUGUCCCCUCUGGGUGCCUCCCCAGCCUCAGUCACUUUGUCUCACACCCCCACACGGUUCCAGGGCAACGAAGCACACAUACCAGGCGAGGCUGAGGGAGCGGCUUCACGUGGGGCAUGCUGCUGUGCUCUGACCUCCAGCUCCUUUUCAAAAUUUAGAAAAAAGCUCAAAAACAAAAACAAAAACAAAAGCUCUCUUGUCCUGAGCUAGACCCUGACGUCGCCAUGGAUCCAAAGCAAACCCAGCAUCGCGGCAGCUGCCAGCUCUGCGCGCUAGGCUUGCCCUUCUGGGAGGGGCUCUGGAAGGGCCGCUUGGAAACAAAACAGACCCAUGGAGUUGGAGGUGGCAUAAAAAUAAUAAAAUGCGUAUUCAUGAAAUUCAGAUGCUUGGCCAGCUUGGGGCCGGACUGGGGCCUCUUGGACCGAUGUUUUCUGAAGCGCCUGUGUAUCAACUGGUUCUAAUCGAGAGACAAACCACACGGUAAUUUGAACAGGGCAAGUUUCACAUGAAGAACGAUGAACCCUCGGCAGGACAGCGACUGGCAGAGAAACCUCGAGGGCUGCGGCGGAGGCCGCCCGUGCCAGCGCAGGUCUGCAGUGUGGGCGCCGGGGCCC